rnacentral:rRNA from 1 species
GACGAACGCUGGCGGCGUGCUUAACACAUGCAAGCCGAACGGAAAGGCCCUGCUUUUGUGGGGUGCUCGAGUGGCGAACGGGUGAGUAACACGUGAGUAACCUGCCCUUGACUUUGGGAUAACUUCAGGAAACUGGGGCUAAUACCGGAUAGGAGCUCCUGCUGCAUGGUGGGGGUUGGAAAGUUUCGGCGGUUGGGGAUGGACUCGCGGCUUAUCAGCUUGUUGGUGGGGUAGUGGCUUACCAAGGCUUUGACGGGUAGCCGGCCUGAGAGGGUGACCGGCCACAUUGGGACUGAGAUACGGCCCAGACUCCUAAGGGAGGCAGAAGUGGGGAAUAUUGCACAAUGGGCGGAAGCCUGAUGCAGCAACGCCGCGUGCGGGAUGACGGCCUUCGGGUUGUAAACCGCUUUCGCCUGUGACGAAGCGUGAGUGACGGUAAUGGGUAAAGAAGCACCGGCUAACUACGUG